rnacentral:lncRNA from 10 species
GAUUGGCUCAUGGAAGUGGGAAGUAUAGAAGGUAUAUCUGGCUUUCAGCAGGAUCCAGGAACUCCAAAGAUAUCACUAGGAUACUGUCUGUGUCCAAGACCCAUAGCUCAACCCUCCUCUCUGUGCCUUCAUUCCCAGAAAGCUACUCCCCAUGUUGUAUCAGAGAUGGAUACAAGAAGCUCCAAGCUUACAUGGAGCUAGCAAUCUCAGUAAAAGGAGUAUAUUUUCUUUCCCAGUAUCUCCACCAAGAGUCCUGGUGGUGAAUCUUGUUAGCUCACAUCCCUAACCUUAGAUUUCUGGAAUCGGAUCAGGCCUAUCCAAAACACAGGAGCCAAGAAUGGGGAAAAGGUGAUUCCCUAAAGGGAUGAUGGAACAAAAACAUGUAUUUACCUUACUGGUAUAUAAACACAUUGACUUACUGACUUAUUGGUCAAGUUGAACAUGCAGUAUCAUCAGUGGAGUAAAUGAGCAGUAACAACCUUGUCAUUAGAGACUGUUUUUUUAAUAGUUUUUCAUAAAUCAGAGGUCAUCAACCUCUUUAACCCCAUUUGUUUCUAGCAGAAUUAAAUGCCAGUGGGUGCCGUGGGAACGUAUUGUUAAGCCUAAAGUCAAACAGAAAAGGGAUUUUUUAGAAAUAAAAACAGGGCCAGGUAUGGUGGCUCAUACCUGUAAUCCCAACACGUUGGGAGGCUGAGGUAGGGGGGAUCCCUUCAGUCCAGAAGUUCGAGACCAGCCUGGGCAAUAUAAUGAGACUCUGUCUCUACAAAAAAAUUUAAAAAAGAAAGAAAAAUAAAGGCAGAGGCCACAGAAAGGCAUGCAUAUGUUUUAAAAAUAGAAUGCCAUUAUGUAUGUAUGUAUGUAUGUAUGUAUGUAUGUAUGUAUGUAUGUAUUUAUUUAGUUUUUGAGACAGGGUCUCACUCUGUCAUCCAGGCUGGAGUGCAGUGGCGCAAUUUCGGCUCACUGCAACCUCUGCCUCCUGGGUUCAAGCGAUGCACCUGCCUCAGCCUCCCGAGUAGCUGGGAUUACAGGUGCCUGCCACUGCGCCUGGCUAGUUUUCCUGUUUUUAGUAGAGAUGGGGUUUCACCAUGUUGGCCAGGCUGAUCUGGAACUCCUGACCUCAGGUGAUGCACUUGCCUUGGCCUCCCAAAGUGUUGGGAUUACAGGCGUGAGCCACCACGCCCAGCCAGAAUUCCAUUAUUAACUGUCUACAUCCAUCCCUUGUAAUGGGAUGGAUGGAACAUUUGUUCCAUAAGUUAUCUAAGCUUGUCAUAUAUUGGUUAUACUUUACUAUAAAGCACCCUGGUUAUUGGACUGACUGCUCUUUCUUGUUUUCUAAGGCACAACGACUCUGUAAACGCUGUGGUCAAGCAUGGAGAGCUGCAACACUUGAAGGCUGGAAACUGUACCAUGACCCUAAUGUUAAUGGAGGUAUUUUAGUAGAUUUUAUUCUGACAGUUGAGGACAAAGGCAUUUCGCUCUAAAUGCCAAUCUUUGUGAACUAUAGCUUCUCUUUUUAGAAAGAAUUGUAAUAAGGUCUUAUUUUAAACCAGAAAUUUUCUUUUGCUAUUUUAUAGGAACAGAAUUAGAACCUGUUGAAGGGAAUCCAUAUAGACGCAUUUGGAAAAUAAGUUGCUGGAGAAUGGCAGAAGAUGUAAGAUAAAUAAAAUAUUCAGUGAUACUGUUUUUAACUCCAAUUAAUUGAAAGCCUAUUCAGGGGCUGUGAAACAUUGAAAGUAGUGUAAAACUGGUUUUCAGAGAAUUUCCAAUUAAAUUGAGGAAUAGGCUUAACUACUUAUCAGAAUUAUUAAAACACUGUGUACUAAGAAUUAAACACUGAUAUAAGGCAGAAAAGUAAAGGAGGUACCAAAUGAAUUUAGAGAAAAAGUACUGGGCUAAAGCUUAAAGCUGGCUUCCCUGAGGAAAGAAUUGAAUUGAACUUUUAAAACUUAGUAGGAUUUGCGUUGUUGAGAAUGAAAAACAAGAGGAAGGAAUUCCAGGUAGGAUACAUAGAUUGGGAAACUCAAAGUAAGGUGGGUCUACCAGGUUGGAGUAGAAUGCUUAUAAAGGAAAUAAAGUCAGUUCUGUUGUAACACGACAUAGGUAUUCAAAGUCAUCACAAUGUACAACAUUGUGCAAAAACCCCACAGGACUUAUAGGGAAAUGGAGUUAAGAGAAAAAUACUCAAAAACUUCAUUAGUGAUACAUAAAAUGAUAAAAAGUUAAUAAAAAUGGUAGCACAGUUUUACAUCUGUCAAACAGUUCAAAAAAUACAUAAAUACUACAAUAAAUAUGGCACUUUACCUUGAAAAAGGCCUAAAGUUUGCUUGUGGAAUUGGAUGUCAGGGUGGUAGAAGCUUUAGGGCACAUGGCAGAAGUGUUUUUAAGAAGAUCAGCAUGGCAGUAGAAAAAAUAUACUUAAAAUUAGAUGGAUAAAAGCCUGAAAAAGUAAUUAGGAGCCUGUCAGAAUUAUUUGGACACUAAGUCAUAAGGGUCUUUCCUAGGAUAGUAUUGAUGAUAAUGGAAAGGAAGGAAGAGACACUGGUCAGGACCGGUGAUUA